rnacentral:rRNA from 1 species
UACGAAGGGGGCUAGCGUUGCUCGGAAUCACUGGGCGUAAAGCGCACGUAGGCGGAUUGUUAAGUCGGGGGUGAAAUCCUGGAGCUCAACUCCAGAACUGCCUUCGAUACUGGCGAUCUUGAGUCCGGGAGAGGUGAGUGGAACUCCGAGUGUAGAGGUGAAAUUCGUAGAUAUCUGAAGGAACAUCAGUGGCGAAAGCGACUUCCUGGACCAAUACUGACGCUCAUGUGCGAAAGCGUGGGGAGCAAACAGG